UUCGGCGAGCGGCGGACGGCUGAGUAACGCGUAGGAAUUUGCCCCAAAGUGAGGAAUAACUGCCCGAAAGGGUAGCUAAUGCCGCAUAUGGUCUUCGGAUUAAAGCCUUCGGGCGCCUUGGGAGAAGCCUGCGUUGGAUUAGGUAGUUGGUAGGGUAAUGGCCUACCAAGCCGACGAUCCAUAGCUGGUCUGAGAGGAUGAUCAGCCAGACUGGAACUGAGACACGGUCCAG
rnacentral:rRNA from 1 species